ACGAACGCUGGCGGCGUGCUUAACACAUGCCAGUCGAACGGAAAGGCCCUGCUUUUGUGGGGUGCUCGAGUGGCGAACGGGUGAGUAACACGUGAGUAACCUGCCCUUGACUUUGGGAUAACUUCAGGAAACUGGGGCUAAUACCGGAUAGGAGCUCCUGCUGCAUGGUGGGGGUUGGAAAGUUUCGGCGGUUGGGGAUGGACCCGCGGCUUAUCAGCUUGUUGGUGGGGUAGUGGCUUACCAAGGCUUUGACGGGUAGCCGGCCUGAGAGGGUGACCGGCCACAUUGGGACUGAGAUACGGCCCAGACUCCUACGGGAGGCAGCAGUGGGGAAUAUUGCACAAUGGGCGGAAGCCUGAUGCAGCAACGCCGCGUGCGGGAUGACGGCCUUCGGGUUGUAAACCGCUUUCGCCUGUGACGAAGCGUGAGUGACGGUAAUGGGUAAAGAAGCACCGGCUAACUACGUG
rnacentral:rRNA from 1 species